rnacentral:pre_miRNA from 2 species
AUUGCUAUGCGAAUGACUGUUUCAUGAAGACGACAUGACAUUUAUUCGAAUAGCAAUAG